ACGGGAGGCAGCAGUGGGGAAUAUUGCACAAUGGGCGAAAGCCUGAUGCAGCGACGCCGCGUGAGUGAAGAAGUAUCUCGGUAUGUAAAGCUCUAUCAGCAGGGAAGAAAAUGACGGUACCUGACUAAGAAGCCCCGGCUAACUACGUGCCAGCAGCCGCGGUAGUACGUAGGGGGCAAGCGUUAUCCGGAUUUACUGGGUGUAAAGGGAGCGUAGACGGUUUGGCAAGUCUGAAGUGAAAUGCGGGGGCUCAACUCCUGAACUGCUUUGGAAACUGUCGAACUAGAGUGCAGGAGAGGUAAGUGGAAUUCCUAGUGUAGCGGUGAAAUGCGUAGAUAUUAGGAGGAACACCAGUGGCGAAGGCGGCUUACUGGACGAUAACUGACGUUGAGGCUCGAAAGCGUGGGGAGCAAACAGGAUUAGAUACCCUGGUA
rnacentral:rRNA from 1 species